AUGAGUUUGGAGGAGAAAAUAGGACUGGUGUUAGGAUAGAAAGUAGGGCAUUUAGACAUGAAUAGUGGCAGAGGUCCAGAAAUUUUAUGUUGUGGGUCACCGCAAUGGAUAUCAUUGAAUGGAUAUGUCUGGAGGAAGAUACAUCGAGGGAUUUGAGUUAGGGAGAUAUCUUAAGGGAACAUUCAUAUAUAGUGAGUUAUAUGAAUUUUGUUCUUGCACCCAGG